AUAGUGGCGAACGGGUGAGUAACGCGUAGGUGACCUACCUUAAGGCGGGGGACAACUCCGGGAAAUCGGGGCUAAUACCGCGUAAGCUCUCGAGUCAAAUUGAGAGUGAAAGUCCUUCGGGACGCCUUUUGAGGGGCCUGCGUUCGAUUAGCUUGUUGGUGGGGUAAAGGCCUACCAAGGCUGAGAUCGAUAGCUGGUCUGAGAGGAUGAUCAGCCACACUGGGACUGAGAUACGGCCCAG
rnacentral:rRNA from 1 species